UUGGGGACUAUAAUAAAACAAUACUGAAAGAAAGCAUGCAAAAUCCUCCAUGGACUAUCUCAAGGACACCAAGGACCCCAGGACCCCAGGAGACCAGUUUCUGUGAAACAUUUUGCCUCAGGACUACGACCAAGCUUUUGGACUUGUCAUGCAGACUCCACUGGAGUGGUUAGUGCUUUCCAUAUGUUGAUGGGUGUGGAGCAUUGGAAACCUACCAUAUCUUCAGAAAGAAGGAUUCUACUUCUCCCUGAAGCUGCCUACUAUGAAUAGAUGUUCAGUGUGAGAUAGAGCCUGGACCCUUGCCUGGAUGUUGGCUGGACUGAUCUCAUGCAGUUUACGUUCAAGUAACACAUCUGCUUUUCUUUCUACCUUCAGAGAACCAGGAAAUAAUUCAGAAGACCUUUGAGGUGAUAUAGUCAUUGGAUAAAAGGAAAUUGCAUCCUAGAUUCUCAUAGUUGAAAAAUCUCAACCAACACAAACCUAAUAUGGAUGUCCACUGGACUGUACAGAUCUACUAAGAAAGAUUUGACCAAAGAGAAUGACUUGAGGUUGAUACAGGUAAAAAUGGAGUCCCGUUUGUUAAUGCUUGUUUUCCUGUUGUCUAAGCACUCAUUUCAAGUGGAAUGCCUGAAGACACUGAAUCUCCAGCAACACGUCCUGCCAGAGGCUAAGCCUUUACUAUUUGGUCUGCCAGUUGUCAGGCAAGCUCAGGAUUAUGAAAGGUACAAUGACUUUGAUCCUAAAUAGCAUUCAAUUGUAAAACUGGAGAGGAUUAGGGAGCCCCAUAGAGAAGAAUUUAGGUUGUACAAGAGACAAAAUGUAAUUAUGUUCUUUUCAUUGCAGUUAAUGAUCUCCAAAUUAAUAGGUGUGUUGUCUUUAGGACAUCACCAAUUCAACUUCGAAUUUAGGAAUGAUAUUUAGAAUUGUUCUUUGCUGACCAUGUACAGUUUUGUUUCUAAGUUUUCAUUUACUUAUAUGUCAAAUAAAAGUAAGUGUAUGAUUAUUUUUAAA